AGGGAUAUGGCGAAAUUGGUAGACGCUACAGACUUAAGUGAUAAAGAUAGAGUCCACUUAAAUAUAAGUGAAAAUUUGUUGAUUCAUUGAAUCGUGAGGGUUCAAGUCCCUUUAUCCCUA
rnacentral:tRNA from 1 species